rnacentral:rRNA from 1 species
UGGAGAGUUUGAUCCUGGCUCAGGACGAACGCUGGCGGCGUGCUUAACACAUGCAAGUCGAACGAUGAAGCCCAGCUUGCUGGGUGGAUUAGUGGCGAACGGGUGAGUAACACGUGAGUAACCUGCCCUUGACUCUGGGAUAAGCGUUGGAAACGACGUCUAAUACCGGAUACGAGCUUCCACCGCAUGGUGAGUUGCUGGAAAGAAUUUUGGUCAAGGAUGGACUCGCGGCCUAUCAGCUUGUUGGUGAGGUAAUGGCUCACCAAGGCGACGACGGGUAGCCGGCCUGAGAGGGUGACCGGCCACACUGGGACUGAGACACGGCCCAGACUCCUACGGGAGGCAGCAGUGGGGAAUAUUGCACAAUGGGCGAAAGCCUGAUGCAGCAACGCCGCGUGAGGGACGACGGCCUUCGGGUUGUAAACCUCUUUUAGCAGGGAAGAAGCGAAAGUGACGGUACCUGCAGAAAAAGCACCGGCUAACUACGUGCCAGCAGCCGCGGUAAUACGUAGGGUGCAAGCGUUGUCCGGAAUUAUUGGGCGUAAAGAGCUCGUAGGCGGUUUGUCGCGUCUGCUGUGAAAUCCCGAGGCUCAACCUCGGGUCUGCAGUGGGUACGGGCAGACUAGAGUGCGGUAGGGGAGAUUGGAAUUCCUGGUGUAGCGGUGGAAUGCGCAGAUAUCAGGAGGAACACCGAUGGCGAAGGCAGAUCUCUGGGCCGCUACUGACGCUGAGGAGCGAAAGGGUGGGGAGCAAACAGGCUUAGAUACCCUGGUAGUCCACCCCGUAAACGUUGGGCGCUAGAUGUGGGGACCAUUCCACGGUUUCCGUGUCGUAGCUAACGCAUUAAGCGCCCCGCCUGGGGAGUACGGCCGCAAGGCUAAAACUCAAAGGAAUUGACGGGGGCCCGCACAAGCGGCGGAGCAUGCGGAUUAAUUCGAUGCAACGCGAAGAACCUUACCAAGGCUUGACAUAUACGAGAACGGGCCAGAAAUGGUCAACUCUUUGGACACUCGUAAACAGGUGGUGCAUGGUUGUCGUCAGCUCGUGUCGUGAGAUGUUGGGUUAAGUCCCGCAACGAGCGCAACCCUCGUUCUAUGUUGCCAGCACGUAAUGGUGGGAACUCAUGGGAUACUGCCGGGGUCAACUCGGAGGAAGGUGGGGACGACGUCAAAUCAUCAUGCCCCUUAUGUCUUGGGCUUCACGCAUGCUACAAUGGCCAGUACAAAGGGCUGCAAUACCGUAAGGUGGAGCGAAUCCCAAAAAGCUGGUCCCAGUUCGGAUUGAGGUCUGCAACUCGACCUCAUGAAGUCGGAGUCGCUAGUAAUCGCAGAUCAGCAACGCUGCGGUGAAUACGUUCC